GUUUAGAAGGAUUUUGCCAUGAAUCAAAGCAGCAAAUACUAGUCUGAGUAUUUGCCUGGUGGAUCAUUAGCUGACAAUCUUUAUGGUGCAAAUGGUAGAAGGAUAAAUUUAAGCUGGGUUCGCAGACUGAAAAUUGCUGUUGAUGCUGCAGAAGUUAUACUGGUUUCCCUAUUUCCUUAUUUCUAACUUAAGCAAAGUCUUAUACUGAACAUUGUCACCAAAAAGGUCAAUAAGAAGCUCUAUGAAGUUUGAAUCUCCUCUCUUUGCUUGUAAUAUAUACAUACUUGGAUUAUCAUUCUUGUUUUAUAGCUCUUGUGCGAACCCGGUGUGCUUCAAAUAUAAUGAAUGAGAAACAGAAUCAAUAUUCUAUUGCAAAUCUGUUUAUGGGGCUGUAGCCAAAUUUAACCCAACCAGUAGUGUGUGCAUUGAACUAUAGCAAACUAGAAGAUCUUAAUUACCAGUCUUUUGACAGGGUUGGACUAUUUACACAAUGGGAGCAAUCCAAGAAUCAUCCACCCUGAUGUGAAAUGCAGAAAUAUCCUUUUGGACAUGGAGAUGAAUGCCAAGGUCUGUGACUUUGGCCUUUCCAGGCAAGUGACAGAGGCUGAUGCAAUUCAUGUCACUACUGUUGUCAAGGUCGCUGCUGGCUAUUGUGAUCCUGACUGCUAACCUGACUUUGAUAUGCAAAUACUACUCUACCCAACAACUAACCAAGAAAAGUGAUGUCUACAGCUUUGGGGUUGUUCUUUUGGAGCUGAUUUGUGGGCCAAGCCAUACCUGCAGGCAGGUGCAUUUGAGAUGGUGGAUGAGAGCAUAAAGGGAAAUUUUGAUGUGGAGAGCACGAGGAAGGCAGCCCCGAUUGCAUCAAGGUGUGUGGAGAGAGAUGCAGCACAAAGGCCAGUGAUAGCAGACGUAUUGGCAGAGCUCAAAGAGGCCUACAGCAUCCAGCUUUCUUAUCUAGCAUCUUGUGGCCAUAUGAAUUAAAAAGUUGAGCCAAGCUUUUGAAUAUGGAAUGUGUAGAAAGAGAGGUACGAGAGUCUUGGCAUAAUUGAGGCACAAUUGUUUCCAAAACCUUAUUUAUAUGUCACAGUAUAGCUAGUGGUUUAGCUGAAGAUGGCUUCUUAGUCUAUUUAUAAAUAUGUAUAUGUACGUAUCUAUUCAUUUCUCGGUAUUUCUGAAUCCUUAUAUUGAGUUAUUAAUGAAGUAGACUGCAUUUGGAUC